rnacentral:rRNA from 1 species
UACGGAGGGGGCAAGCGUUGUUCGGAAUUACUGGGCGUAAAGCGUGCGCAGGCGGUCUGUUAAGACCGAUGUGAAAUCCCCGGGCUUAACCUGGGAACUGCAUUGGUGACUGGCAGGCUUUGAGUGUGGCAGAGGGAGGUAGAAUUCCACGUGUAGCAGCGAAAUGCGUAGAGAUGUGGAGGAAUACCGAUGGCGAAGGCAGCCUCCUGGGCCAACACUGACGCUCAUGCACGAAAGCGUGGGGAGCAAACAGG